rnacentral:rRNA from 1 species
AUACGUAGGGUGCAAGCGUUAAUCGGAAUUACUGGGCGUAAAGCGUGCGCAGGCGGUUUUGGAAGACAGUGGUGAAAUCCCCGGGCGCAACCUGGGGACUGCCAUUGUGACUGCAAGGCUGGAGGGCGGCAGAGGGGGAUGGAAUUACGCGUGUAGCAGUGAAAUGCGUAGAUAUGCGGAGGAACACCGAUGGCGAAGGCAAUCCCCUGGGCCUGCACUGACGCUCAUGCACUAAAGCGUGGGGAGCAAACAGGAUUAGAUACCCUGGUAGUCCACGCCCUAAACGAUGUCAACUGGUUGUUGGGGAUUUAUUUUCUCAGUAACGAAGCUAACGCGUGAAGUUGACCGCCUGGGGAGUACGGCCGCAAGGUUAAAACUCAAAUGAAUUGACGGGG